rnacentral:rRNA from 1 species
UGGGGAAUAUUGCACAAUGGGCGAAAGCCUGAUGCAGCAACGCCGCGUGAGGGACGACGGCCUUCGGGUUGUAAACCUCUUUAGCAAGGAAGAAGCGAAAGUGACGGUACUUGCAGAAAAACGCGCCGGCUAACUACGUGCCAGCAGCCGCGGUAAUACGUAGGGCGCAAGCGUUAUCCGGAAUUAUUGGGCGUAAAGAGCUCGUAGGCGGUUUGUCGCGUCUGCUGUGAAAACCCGAGGCUCAACCUCGGGCCUGCAGUGGGUACGGGCAGACUAGAGUGCGGUAGGGGAGAUUGGAACUCCUGGUGUAGCGGUGGAAUGCGCAGAUAUCAGGAAGAACACCGAUGGCGAAGGCAGAUCUCUGGGCCGUAACUGACGCUGAGGAGCGAAAGGGUGGGGAGCAAACAGGCUUAGAUACCCUGGUAGUCCACCCCGUAAACGUUGGGAACUAGUUGUGGGUCCAUUCCACGGAUUCCGUGACGCAGCUAACGCAUUAAGUU